CGGAGGGUGCAAGCGUUAUCCGGAUUCACUGGGUUUAAAGGGUGCGUAGGAGGGCAGGUAAGUCAGUGGUGAAAUCUUCGAGCUUAACUCGGAAACUGCCGUUGAUACUAUCUGUCUUGAAUAUUGUGGAGGUGAGCGGAAUAUGUCAUGUAGCGGUGAAAUGCUUAGAUAUGACAUAGAACACCGAUUGCGAAGGCAGCUCGCUACACAUAUAUUGACUCUGAGGCACGAAAGCGUGGGGAUCAAACAGGAUUAGAUACCCUGGUAGUCCACGCCCUAAACGAUGAUUACUCGACGUGUGCGAUAUGACUGUACGCGUCUGAGCGAAAGCAUUAAGUAAUCCGCCUGGGAAGUACGACCGCAAGGUUG
rnacentral:rRNA from 1 species